rnacentral:lncRNA from 1 species
AUUGAGCUCCAGAGUUUUUAUUGAUGUAUGCACUAUUCACAGGGAGUCAUGAAUGAUAUUGACUUAAUCUUGAUAAUUGAUUGAAUUGCAUGUUUAUGUCAUAUGAUCAAGGCCAUGCUUGAAAAGCCCUUACUUAGCCAAAUUUUCACCCAACGUAUUUUAAAAGAUAUACCCUUUUUGAACCAUGGUCUUAAACAGUAUGAAAACCCUUGUUUGAAUUGAUUUACCUUGAGUUGGGUUGAGAAUAAUAGUAUGUGUUGAAAAGGUUCAAGUUUGGGGUUGUAUGGGGAAAGUUGAAUGAAGAAAAGAAAAAGCAUUGAGUUCAAAAGUUGAAAAAGAAAAAUGCAUGAGAAAGAAAAGAAAAGAAGAAAAGAAAAAGCAUGUAAAGAGAACUCAAUGUAAAAAGGAAAAAGGGAAGAAGUUGGGAAUGAGUGAGAUUGGUUAGAAAGAGAGUGUGCUUGAACUUUGAAUGAUUUAAAACUCUCUUAACUCAAGGAUUUUGUAUUCCAGAAAAACCAAUUUUUCUUGAUAGCCCAGCCACAUUACAAGCCUUGGAAAAGUCCUUGUGAUGGCAUUUGCAUGUGAAGAUU